rfam:Triticum urartu cultivar G1812 contig416000, whole genome shotgun sequence.
UUCAUACUCCCUCCGUUCCAAAUUACUCGUCGCAGAAAAUGAAUGUAUCUAGAACUAAAAUACAUCUAGAUACAUCCAAAUUUGCGACAAGUAAUUCAGAACGGAGGGAGUACCAU